CAGUAGCCGCGGGAAUACGAAGGGGGCUAGCGUUGUUCGGAUUUACUGGGCGUAAAGGGCGCGUAGGCGGGCGAAUAAGUCAGGGGUGAAAUCCCAAGGCUCAACCUUGGAACUGCCUAUGAUACUGUUUGUCUUGAGUUCGAGAGAGGUAAGUGGAACUGCGAGUGUAGAGGUGAAAUUCGUAGAUACUCGCAAGAACACCAGUGGCGAAGGCGGCUUACUGGCUCGAAACUGACGCUGAGGCGCGAAAGCGUGGGGAGCAAACAGGAUUAGAUACCCCAGUAGUCCCUGUCUCUUAUAU
rnacentral:rRNA from 1 species